GGAUGAACGCUAGCGGGAGGCUUAACACAUGCAAGUCGAGGGGCAGCAUAGGGUAGCAAUACUCUGAUGGCGACCGGCAAACGGGUGAGUAACGCGUAUGCAACCUACCCUGUACAGGGGGAUAACCCGGAGAAAUUCGGACUAAUAUCCCGUAAUAAUAUCCGGAGGCAUCUUUGGAUAUUUAAAGUUCCGACGGUACGGGAUGGGCAUGCGUAACAUUAGCUGGUUGGUAAGGUAACGGCUUACCAAGGCUAUGAUGUUUAGGGGUCCUGAGAGGGUGGUCCCCCACACUGGUACUGAGACACGGACCAGACUCCUACGGGAGGCAGCAGUGAGGAAUAUUGGUCAAUGGGCGCAAGCCUGAACCAGCCAUCCCGCGUGCAGGAAGACGGCCCUAUGGGUUGUAAACUGCUUUUCCAGGGAGAGAAACUUACGCACGUGUUGCGUGACUGACGGUACCCUGGGAAUAAGCAUCGGCUAACUCCGUGCCAGCAGCCGCGGUAAUACGGAGGAUGCAAGCGUUAUCCGGAUUCAUUGGGUUUAAAGGGUGCGUAGGCGGGCUAUUAAGUCAGUGGUGAAAUCCUGCAGCUUAACUGCAGAACUGCCGUUGAUACUGAUAGUCUUGAGUUUGGUUAAGGUAGGCGGAAUGUGUAAUGUAGCGGUGAAAUGCUUAGAUAUUACACAGAACACCAAUUGCGUAGGCAGCUUACUGAGCCGACACUGACGCUGAGGCACGAAAGCGUGGGGAUCAAACAGGAUUAGAUACCCUGGUAGUCCACGCCGUAAACGAUGAUUACUCGCUGUUGGCGAUACACUGUCAGCGGCUAAGCAAAAGCAAUAAGUAAUCCACCUGGGGAGUACGGCCGCAAGGUUGAAACUCAAAGGAAUUGACGGGGGCCCGCACAAGCGGAGGAACAUGUGGUUUAAUUCGAUGCUCCGCGAAGAACCUUACCUGGGUUUGACAUAACAGUGGUAGAGAAACGAAAGUGGACCGACCCUUCGGGGAGCUGUUACAGGUGUUGCAUGGCUGUCGUCAGCUCGUGUCGUGAGAUGUUCGGUUAAGUCCGCUAACGAGCGCAACCCGCGCUGUGUGUUACAAGUGUCACACAGUACCGCCGGUAUUAAGUCGGAGGAAGGUGCGGAUGACGUCAAGUCAGCAUGACCUUUAUAUCCAGGGCUACACACACGCUACAAUGGUCAGCACAAUAGGUUGCCAAGCCGCAAGGCGGAGCCAAUCCUCCAAAGCUGGCCUCAGUUCAGAUUGCAGGCUGCAACUCGCCUGCAUGAAGUCGGAGUUGCUAGUAACCGCAGGUCAGCAUACUGCGGUGAAUACGUUCCCGGGGAU
rnacentral:rRNA from 1 species